UGUAUCAACGAUUUAUUCAUGGUUUAAAUCAAAUACCGAUUAAAUAUUUAAUAAUUGCUAAAAGAAUUUAUGAGCCACUAAACCAAUAUUUAACCAGUUCUAAAAACCUUUUAAACCGCGUACUUUAGCUAAUCAAUAUAAAGAGAAUAGAACUUCCAGUCUUGCUACAAAUAUACUUUAAGGAAUAUUGAUGUAAGUUUAAGUGAACCCCUACAUUUUUAGAGUGAUCCGAUUCACAAUAGUACCCUUCAGAUCUAAAUUGAUCAAGGAUGAAUAAGAUAUCAUUAUUUGUCUUUCAUAAAAUUAAAUAUUUUAAUUGUUGUUUCUCCAUGACUUUUUAAAGUGGGUCUCAAUUGAAAGUGGCAAUCCCUUUAAAAUCAUUUAUUACAAUGAUAUUAUUCAGGAAAUCAUACAAACGUGAUUAGGGUUUAUUGGUGAUAAGCUUGAUAUUGAUUUUAUUCAGUAUAGGACAUAUAGUUAAAGGUAUUAAAGAGUAGCGAGGAAGGAAGGCAGCCCCACCGAUCCUCUUCCGAACCCAGGUCUCUCAUCAUGUGAUAUUGAAGGAAAGUACAAGCCAUACAUUAUUGCACAAUGCACACAACAAAUAAAGGCUUUAUAGGAGUGAAAGAUUAAUUUCUCGAGGACAUGGAAUAUGGAAGAUUAAAUUAAUCAAUGCUUGAUCUCGAUAUCCACGAUUCAAGAUUGCCCAGCUCUGAAUACUUCUAAAAUAUAUGGAUUUGUCAGCUCCUGGAUCCUGGAUCCUGGACGGUACCCAAUAUAAGAUAUAUGUAUUGGAAAAUGAGAAACCCUUUCUCGACUUGAACUCGGGAAUUAGGAUUUAUUUCUUUCCAAGGAUUCUUUAAACUUUCUUCCUCGCCUAUUUUCUCUUCUUUUACAGAAAACCUCGAAAUUUAGGAUAACAUUUAAUCGAUGUUUUCAUUUUUACAAGUGUUUUACAAUUUUUUUUUAUAAUUUUUAUGAAAUUAAAUGGUACGAGGCAUAUAUAAUAAUUUCAAAUGUUCAUCUUUUUCUCCUUUCUUCGUCUGCACGUCUGCAGGUUCGCUUUUUCUUGUUUCCCUUUGCCCGUCCAUUUAUGGCGCUGCUUUUGAAAGAAUGUUUACAAGUCGCUGUCUUUGCUUCAUUAUAAGACAGUGCACGAUCACCCUUUCAUUGAAUAGAUGUCUUCCUCUCUGUUUUUGUUUGUUUUGCUUAAUUGUAAUUGCAGCCCCAGCGCUGCACAUUCUGUCUACUUGCAUUUUUUUAGGUCACCACACCUAGAACUUUAAGUUAGUUUUUAUUUGCUGCGAGGGAGCAAUAGCUUCCCUGCUUUGAACCGCACAUUUUUUGUUGUAGGAUCCAAUUGAGAAAUCGAUGUUUUAUAAUUAAACAGAAUAAUUUGCCUUGUACGACGAAUUAAUCUUCUGACUUCAGACUCUUUGUAAAUACUGCUCUAUUCCUGUUUUAGCCCAGACCAAUACUAUUUUCUCCUUCUAAGCCGUGGUUUAUGCCUAUUGGCUUGAAUCUAAACCAGGAUCUGGGGCAACGGUGGCUUCGGUUUUCCACGCAUUCAAAUUGAUAAAUUUUGCUACAUUUUUAUUCUGACAUAAGAUAUAUUAUCUAAAAGGAAAAUAAAAACAAUUGUAAAAAUAGUUUUAAAAAUCGUUUUGUUAAUAUCUUUUGUGAAUUGUUAGAGUAAAAGUUUAGCAUAAUGUAAUUAAAGCAAUUCCAUAGAGAAUGUAAAGAUGGCAAUGUCUGAUUCAUAACGCUAUACCUUGAAACCGCCACAAUUGAAAAUAAUCAGUUAUCAAAUUAAAAACUUUGAUAUCUAAUGCAUACUUGAUCAGACAAAGCUUUUAAGGGAAUCGUUGUGAAUAGAGCGUUGUCGUCUUUGCAUAGAGGGUCAGUUGAAAUUACCCUUACAAUUCCUUUAAAGUAAACACCGAAUCUGAAUGUUUAAAAAUAAAGCCCUUGACGAUGCCCAACUCUAGGUGUAGAGCAACUAUUCUGCAGUUAAUAGAUGCCCAUCUCUAGGUGUAGAGCAACUAUUCUGCAGUUAAUAUCCAUAAAAUACAAACUUUAGAAUUGCUUUUUGGACUUAGGGUUUAGGAAGAAAGUUAUUGGCUUAAUGGGUUAAAAUAUGUCAAAUAAUUGAUAUAUUGGGAACUACAUUUUUUCUUUAACUUGAUGUAAAUAAGAAAAUUCUAGUGGGCAUUAAAGUGGAUUGUUUCUUUGCAAGUAAAUAGGCAUUUGCAAUAAAGCAGGAAAAACUGUAUUGUGGCGUGUAAAAACAUAGGGCCAUCCCCCCCCCCACACACUGGAUAAGUUGCACUAAAGCGGGGAAAAUAAAUGUAUGUAAUAAUAAAUGAAGUAUUCUAAAAUAUCUACAUGUUAAUGAUUUUUAUCAAAGACUUUAAAAUCUGCAAUUUUAAAAUUA
rnacentral:lncRNA from 1 species